rnacentral:rRNA from 1 species
CGCAUCUGUGCAUGCAGCAUAUCAAUAAGCGGAGGAAAAGAAACUAACAAGGAUUCCCUUAGUAACGGCGAGUGAAGCGGGAAGAGCUCAAAUUUGAAAUCUUCAAGGUUUUACCUUGACGAAUUGUAGUUUAAAGAAGUGUUUUCUGUUGAAGUUUUGGUAAAAGUUCUUUGGAAUAGGACAUCAUAGAGGGUGAGAAUCCCGUAUUUGACCAUUAUUUUCAGCUGUGUGAUACACUUUCAAAGAGUCGGAUUGUUUGGGAAUGCAGUCCAAAAUGGGUGGUAAAUUUCAUCUAAAGCUAAAUAUUGGCGAGAGACCGAUAGCGAACAAGUACCGUGAGGGAAAGAUGAAAAGAACUUUGAAAAGAGAGUUAAACAGUACGUGAAAUUGUCAAAAGGGAAGCGUUUGACACCAGUGUUGUUUUCUCGAAAAUCAAUUAAAAAGAGUUUGAUUUUGUUGUGUAUUGACCUUAACAGCUUGCAUUUCAAUUUUCUUGCUUUUUUUAAUGCACUUUUCGUUUAACAAGUCAACAUCAGUUUCUUUUGUUGUAAAAAGGUCAUUGGAAGGUGGCUUUCUCUUCGGAGAAAGUGUUUAUAGCCUUUGACUCCUGCAAUCGGAGAGACUGAGGUCUGCAGCGUAGAUCCUUCGGGGUUAGAUACAUUUGUGCUAAGUUAUAGCUUUUUAUAGACAACUUGUUGACUAUGAUUAGUCUUGUAGCUUACUCGCUUAUGCUAUUUUACCUACGCUUAGGAUGUUGACACACGCGCGUGCUCGGCUCUAUACAUGACUCUGUGCAUAUCAAUAAGCGGAGGAAAAGUAUGCUGUAUACCUACGCUUAGGAUGUUGACACACGCGCGUGCUCG